GGCAGGCCUAAGACAUGCAAGUCGUACGCGAACGAACUUUCGGAGUUAAGUAGAGUGGCGAACGGGUUAGUAACGCGUGGGAACAUACACAGCACAGGGGGAUAACCAUUGGAAACGAUGGCUAAUACCGCAUACGCCCUAUUGGGGAAAGAUUUAUCGGUGUUGGAUUGGCCCGCGUUAGAUUAGCUAGUUGGUGGGGUAAUGGCUCACCAAGGCGACGAUUUAUAGCUGGUUUGAGAGGAUGAUCAGCAACACUGGAACUGAGACACGGUCCAGACUCCUACGGGAGGCAGCAGUCGGGAAUAUUGUGCAAUGGGGGCAACCCUGACACAGCCAUGCCGCGUGAGUGAAGAAGGCCUUAGGGUUGUAAAGCUCUUUCAGAUGUGAGGAUGAUGACGAUAGCAUCAGAAGAAGCUCCGGCUAACUUCGUGCCAGCAGCCGCGGUAAUACGAAGGGAGCUAGCGUUGUUCGGAAUUACUGGGCGUAAAGGGCGUGUAGGCGGAUUAUCAAGUUAGGGGUGAAAUCCCGGGGCUCAACCUCGGCACUGCCUUUAAGACUGAUAAUCUAGAGUAUGUGAGGGGAUAAUGGAAUACCUAGUGU
rnacentral:rRNA from 1 species